rnacentral:tRNA from 1 species
GGCCCCGUAGCUCAGCAGGAUAGAGCGGCAGAUUCCUAAUCUGUAGGUCAGAGGUUCGAAUCCUCUCGGGGUCACCA